rnacentral:rRNA from 1 species
AUUGAACGCUGGCGGCAGGCCUAACACAUGCAAGUCGAACGGAAGCACAGUGCUUGCUUGUGGUUUCCGCGGGGGAAAGGCGGGUGGGACAUGGGAAUAUCCGUGUCUUCUUUUUCGGAGGUCAGAACGAAGGGGCGACUACGACAUUACCGCAGAGGGCGAACGAGGGAGAGCUUGGGACCUUCGGACCUGGCGUGAUUGUAGGUCGGGGUGGCUAGUUGGUGGGUUAAAGGGCUACCGAGGCGACAAUCCGUAGCUGGUCUGAGAGGAUGAUCGGCCACACUGGAACUGAGACACGGUCCAGACUCCUACGGGAGGCAGCAGUGUGGAAUAUUGGACAAUGGUCGAAAGCCUUAUCCAGCCAUGCCGCGUGUGUGAAGAAGGCCUUCGGUUUGUAAAGCCCUUUUUGUGGGUAAGAACCGCAGUAGGUUAAUACCAUGCUGUUUUGACGGUACCAAGAGAAUAAGCACCGGCUAACUUCGUG